CAGACAGACAGACAGAUAGAUAGAUAGGUCAUACGGAAGACAGACAGACAGACAGACAGACAGAUAGAUAGAUAGAUAGAUAGAUAGAUAGAUAGGUCCUACGGAAGACAGACAGACAGACACACAGACAGAUAGAUAGAUAGAUAAAUAGAUAGAUAGGUCAUACGGAAGACAGACAGACAGACAGACAGACAGAUAGAUAGGUCAUAUGGAAGACAGACAGACAGACAGAUAGACACACAGAUAGG